rnacentral:rRNA from 1 species
GAUGAGCGCUGGCGGCGUGCCUAAUACAUGCGAGUCGAGCGAACAGAUGAGGAGCUUGCUCCUCUGACGUUAGCGGCGGACGGGUGAGUAACACGUGGAUAACCUACCUAUAAGACUGGGAUAACUUCGGGAAACCGGAGCUAAUACCGGAUAAUAUAUUGAACCGCAUGGUUCAAUAGUGAAAGACGGUUUUGCUGUCACUUAUAGAUGGAUCCGCGCCGCAUUAGCUAGUUGGUAAGGUAACGGCUUACCAAGGCAACGAUGCGUAGCCGACCUGAGAGGGUGAUCGGCCACACUGGAACUGAGACACGGUCCAGACUCCUACGGGAGGCAGCAGUAGGGAAUCUUCCGCAAUGGGCGAAAGCUUGACGGAGCAACGCCGCGUGAGUGAUGAAGGUCUUCGGAUCGUAAAACUCUGUUAUUAGGGAAGAACAAAUGUGUAAGUAACUAUGCACGUCUUGACGGUACCUAAUCAGAAAGCCACGGCUAACUACGUG